UACAGAGGGUGCAAGCGUUAAUCGGAGUUACUGGGCGUAAAGGGCGCGUAGGCGGUUUUAUAAGUGAGAUGUGAAAGGCCUGGGCUUAACCUAGGAACGGCAUCUUAGACUAUAGGACUAGAGUGCAGUAGAGGGUGGCGGAAUUUCCGGUGUAGCGGUGAAAUGCGUAGAGAUCGGAAGGAACACCAGUGGCGAAGGCGGCCACCUGGACUGUCACUGACGCUGAGGCGCGAGAGCGUGGGUAGCAAACAGG
rnacentral:rRNA from 1 species